rnacentral:tRNA from 1 species
CACCAGGUGACUGAAAGCAAGUAUUGGUCUCUUAAACCAUAUUAUAGUAAGUAUAGCAACUACUCCUAGUG